rnacentral:rRNA from 1 species
UACGUAGGCGGAAAAUUAAGUCAGUAGUGAAAUCCUGCAGCUUAACUGUAGAACUGUUAUUGAUACUGGUUUUCUUGAAUAUAGUUGAGGUAGGCGGAAUGUGUAAUGCAGCGGUGAAAUGCUUAGAUAUUACACAGAACACCGAUUGCGAAGGCAGCUUACUAAGCUAUGAUUGACGCUGAGGUACGAAAGCGUGGGGAGCGAACAGGAUUAGAUACCCUGGUAGUCC